AUACGGAGGGUGCAAGCGUUAAUCGGAAUUACUGGGCGUAAAGGGCGCGUAGGCGGUCUAUCAAGUCAGGUGUGAAAUCCCACGGCUCAACCGUGGAGGUGCAUCUGAAACUGAUAGACUUGAGUAUGGGAGAGGAAAGUGGAAUUCCCGGUGUAGAGGUGAAAUUCGUAGAUAUUGGGAGGAACACCAGUGGCGAAGGCGACUUUCUGGACCAAUACUGACGCUGAGGCGCGAAAGCGUGGGGAGCAAACAGGAUUAGAAACCCCAGUAGUCC
rnacentral:rRNA from 1 species